rnacentral:rRNA from 1 species
AACGAACGCUGGCGGCAGGCUUAACACAUGCAAGUCGAACGCCCCGCAAGGGGAGUGGCAGACGGGUGAGUAACGCGUGGGAAUCUACCCAUCCCUACGGAACAACUCCGGGAAACUGGAGCUAAUACCGUAUACGCCCUUAGGGGGAAAGAUUUAUCGGGGAUGGAUGAGCCCGCGUUGGAUUGGCUAGUUGGUGGGGUAAAGGCCUACCAAGGCGACGAUCCAUAGCUGGUCUGAGAGGAUGAUCAGCCACAUUGGGACUGAGACACGGCCCAAACUCCUACGGGAGGCAGCAGUGGGGAAUAUUGGACAAUGGGCGCAAGCCUGAUCCAGCCAUGCCGCGUGAGUGAUUAAGGCCUUAGGGUUGUAAAGCUCUUUCACCGAUGAAGAUAAUGACGGUAGUCGGAGAAGAAGCCCCGGCUAACUUCGUGCCAGCAGCCGCCGUAA